rnacentral:rRNA from 1 species
AUUGAACGCUGGCGGCAGGCUUAACACAUGCAAGUCGAGCGGGGUGAUGGUGCUUGCACUAUCACUUAGCGGCGGACGGGUGAGUAAUGCUUAGGAAUCUGCCUAUUAGUGGGGGACAACAUCUCGAAAGGGAUGCUAAUACCGCAUACGUCCUACGGGAGAAAGCAGGGGAUCACUUGUGACCUUGCGCUAAUAGAUGAGCCUAAGUCGGAUUAGCUAGGUGGUGGGGUAAAGGCCUACCAAGGCGACGAUCUGUAGCGGGUCUGAGAGGAUGAUCCGCCACACUGGGACUGAGACACGGCCCAGACUCCUACGGGAGGCAGCAGUGGGGAAUAUUGGACAAUGGGGGGAACCCUGAUCCAGCCAUGCCGCGUGUGUGAAGAAGGUCUUCGGAUUGUAAAGCACUUUAAGUUGGGAGGAAGGGCAGUAAAUUAAUACUUUGCUGUUUUGACGUUACCGACAGAAUAAGCACCGGCUAACUCUGUGCCAGCAGCCGCCGCAG